UAUUAUGGGAGGACAGCUGUGCGCGGUCUUUAUUGAAUGACAUGGAGGAUAUCUUGUAUGCAUAAACAGAUCACGUAUACAUCAACCAAUCAACAUAAAGCUUCCAGCAAACAUGUACACACCAUUUGAAUAAUUAAUUCUGUGUCUAACAACUUAUGCAAUAUAUUCUGCAUGAAUAUUACAUCCUCCUUGUUUGUUUUCUACAUGUGGAUAAGUGAAGGAUCACACACAUAAACAACCUACAGGCCAUGAACAGAAGAACGUAUAUCAACACAAUACAAUCAACAUUUUUUUUUGCACAUAUAUGCAGCAUGUUAAGGGCAGCGAUCUGCCUGCACCCAUUUACAGCAUUUACAAGUUCAAAAUUGUUCUUGGCUUGACUUCACGUCCAAACCUUGUCCGGUAAGGGACAGUAGAAGUGUCUGUCUCACUGGCUGCAAAUGAGGCUGGUUGUGUAAUGCGGUGUUGGGCCUGCUGCCUGUUGUGGUCAAAACUCUCUUUGGCAGGACGUGCUUCCUUAGUAUGAAAAAAGUGUCGUCUGUCUCACCUAUACACCUGUCCUCCAUCAGUCGCACGUAUGUGAUAUGACCUUUCAGUAUCAGCUCGCCUGAUGACUACAGCUGGUUUCCAGUAGCCGUGCUCUUGGAAUUGGAUGUAUUGUCCAUUGUGCAGUGAUUGCAUUUGUUUAGCGGAUCUGUCAUAAUACCUUUUCUGAUGAUUUUGUUGGUGAACUCUUCUGGAAUGAAACUCUCUAUCGUUAAUCACUUUGGCCUGAAGCUGCUGAUGACUUCUGGGUAAAGUCGAGCGUAAGCAACGACUCAUUAGAAGCUGUGCUGGUGAUCUGAAGCCAUCAACUGGGCUGUUAUGAUACUCGAGAAGACUCAGGCACAGAUCUUUCUGAUCAGUACUGGACUUUUCCAUGAGCGAUUUUGGCAAUCUGUACUGCCUUCGCAGCCGAAUCGUUCCUAGUGGUAAACUAGUGGUGAUAUGGCUGAACUCCCAGGUGUUUGCGAAUGUUUCAAACUCGCUACAUUUAUACUGGGGGCCAUUGUCCGAUACAACAGUUUUAGGUAUGCCAUGUCUGGCAAAAACGUCUUUCAAUUUGUUUAUCACAGCAGAGGAUGUUGUGCUGUGCAGCUUGUCAAGCUCAAAAUACCUGCUAUAAUAGUCCACUGUGACUACAUAGUUGUCCCUAUUCCAAGCGAACAGAUCAGUUGCAACAGUUUGCCAUGGCCUGUCUGGAAUCUUGUGACUUAUCUUCUUAUUAGAAGUCCUGUGCUCAAUACAGAUGGGACAAUGUUCAACCACCUCCUCGAUCUGCCUAUUCAUCCCUGGCCAGAAUAAAACAUCUCCCGCUCUCUGCUUGCACUUUUCUAUAACCAUGUGGUCCACGUGAAUCCUGGAAAGCAUCUCUCGCCGUUGUGAGGGUAUCGGCAACAGGGACGUGUUUGCCUGGCUUGUGGAUGAUGGUGAAAUCAUACCUCCGAAGUUGUAGGAUCAUCCUUUGUAGUCUUGGAGGUGCUGCUGCAAGAAAUUUUUUCAUGAUGGACUCAUGAAAGUCACUUUCCACAAUAACAUGACGACCAUAGACAUACUGGUGGAAGAGCUUAAAUCCAAAUAAAAUGGCAUACAGCUCUU